GUGAGGAAUAUUGGUCAAUGGGCGCAAGCCUGAACCAGCCAUGCCGCGUGCAGGAUGACGGUCCUAUGGAUUGUAAACUGCUUUUGUACAGGAAGAAACACUGGUUCGUGAACCAGCUUGACGGUACUGUAAGAAUAAGGAUCGGCUAACUCCGUGCCAGCAGCCGCGGUAAUACGGAGGAUCCAAGCGUUAUCCGGAAUCAUUGGGUUUAAAGGGUCCGUAGGCGGUCAGAUAAGUCAGUGGUGAAAGCCCAUCGCUCAACGGUGGAACGGCCAUUGAUACUGUCUGACUUGAAUUAUUAGGAAGUAACUAGAAUAUGUAGUGUAGCGGUGAAAUGCUUAGAGAUUACAUGGAAUACCAAUUGCGAAGGCAGGUUACUACUAAUGGAUUGACGCUGAUGGACGAAAGCGUGGGUAGCGAACAGGAUUAGAAACCCCGGUAGUCC
rnacentral:rRNA from 1 species